UUACUGGGCGUAAGCGUGCGUAGGUGGUCGUUUAAGUCCGUUGUGAAAGCCCUGGGCUCAACCUGGGAACUGCAGUGGAUACUGGGCGACUAGAAUGUGGUAGAGGGUAGCGGAAUUCCUGGUGUAGCAGUGAAAUGCGUAGAGAUCAGGAGGAACAUCCAUGGCGAAGGCAGCUACCUGGACCAACAUUGACACUGAGGCACGAAAGCGUGGGGAGCAAACAGGAUUAUAUACCCUGGUAGUCCACGCCCUAAACGAUGCGAACUGGAUGUUGGAUGCAAUUUGCCACGCAGGAUCCAAACUAACGCGUUAAGUUCGCCGCCUGGAGAGAACGGCCGCACGACUGAAACUCUAAGGAAUUGUCGGGGGCCCCC
rnacentral:rRNA from 1 species